rnacentral:rRNA from 1 species
GACGUAGGGCGCGAGCGUUGUCCGGAUUUAUUGGGCGUAAAGAGCUCGUAGGCGGCUUGUUGCGUCAGCUGUGAAAACCCGCAGCUCAACUGUGGGCUUGCAGCUGAUACGGGCAGACUGGAGUUCGGCAGGGGAGACUGGAAUUCCUGGUGUAGCGGUGAAAUGCGCAGAUAUCAGGAGGAACACCGGUGGCGAAGGCGGGUCUCUGGGCCGAUACUGACGCUGAGGAGCGAAAGCGUGGGGAGCGAACAGG